UCCGGUUGAUCCCGCCGGAGGUUACUGCUAUCGAGGUUCGACUAAGCCAUGCGAGUCGAAUGUAGCAAUACAUGGCGUACUGCUCAGUAACACGUGGAUAACCUACCCUUGAGAUGGGGAUAAACCCGGGAAACUGGGUAUAAUACCCAAUAGAUCUCGACUGCUGGAAUGCAUCGAGCUCCAAAGCUUUGGCGCUCAAGGAUGGAUCUGCGGCCUAUCAGGUAGUAGUGGGUGUAGCGUACCUACUAGCCUACGACGGGUACGGGUUGUGAGAGCAAGAGCCCGGAGAUGGAUUCUGAGACACGAAUCCAGGCCCUACGGGGUGCAGCGGGCGCGAAAACUUUACAAUGCUGGAAACAGCGAUAAGGGGACCUCGAGUGCCAGGUUACAAAUCUGGCUGUCGUGAUGCCUAAAAAGCAUUGCAUAGCAAGGGCCGGGCAAGACCGGUGCCAGCCGCCGCGGUAACACCGGCGGCUCGAGUGGUAACCGUUAUUAUUGGGUCUAAAGGGUCUGUAGCCGGCCGGAUAAGUCUCUUGGGAAAUCUGGCAGCUUAACUGUCAGGCUUUCAGGAGAUACUGUCUGGCUCGAGGCCGGGAGAGGUGAGAGGUACUUCAGGGGUAGGGGUGAAAUCUUGUAAUCCUUGAAGGACCACCAGUGGCGAAGGCGUCUCACCAGAACGGACCUGACGGCAAGGGACGAAAGCUAGGGGCACGAACCGGAUUAGAUACCCGGGUAGUCCUAGCCGUAAACGAUACUCGCUAGGUGUCGGCAACGGUGCGACCGUUGUCGGUGCCGUAGGGAAGCCGUGAAGCGAGCCACCUGGGAAGUACGGCCGCAAGGCUGAAACUUAAAGGAAUUGGCGGGGGAGCACACAACGGGUGGAGCUUGCGGUUUAAUUGGAUUCAACGCCGG
rnacentral:rRNA from 1 species